rnacentral:lncRNA from 1 species
UAUAACUAGAAAGGUUAUAGCAUUUCAUAAACCAUUUUAAAUAUUUAAGUUCCCCCAUAUUAUUAUUUACAUUUUAAUCUCUGGUAAGGCAUUUUUGUAUCUAAACUUUUAACUUAUCGCUCAAAACCUUGUUACUUUAUCGCCCUAUUAACAUUCUUUUACGAUUUCCUGAUUCACAGCGGGCCUACUCAUGCAGCUUCUUGAUAGACAUCACUAUCUAUGCGUUAUAUCUUUAAUACCAAUUCUAGCAUUACAUUUUUAAACCCUUGCAAUAUAUUCGCAUCAAUGAAAGCUGUAAGUAACUGUCGAUUUUUAUCACUUCUAUGCAUAAUUGUUAUUCGUGGUAGCCCGAUUUACCAUGUAGUAAUAUCACUUCCUGGAUUUUUCAGUUUCGGUAUAUUUUUAUCUACAAACAUUCAACCCUCC